rnacentral:rRNA from 1 species
UACGGGAGGCAGCAGUAGGGAAUCUUCCACAAUGGGCGAAAGCCUGAUGGAGCAACGCCGCGUGAGUGAAGAAGGUUUUCGGAUCGUAAAACUCUGUUGUAAGGGAAGAACAAGUACAGUAGUAACUGGCUGUACCUUGACGGUACCUUAUUAGAAAGCCACGGCUAACUACGUGCCAGCAGCCGCGGUAAUACGUAGGUGGCAAGCGUUGUCCGGAAUUAUUGGGCGUAAAGCGCGCGCAGGCGGUCCUUUAAGUCUGAUGUGAAAGCCCACGGCUCAACCGUGGAGGGUCAUUGGAAACUGGGGGACUUGAGUGCAGAAGAGGAAAGUGGAAUUCCAAGUGUAGCGGUGAAAUGCGUAGAGAUUUGGAGGAACACCAGUGGCGAAGG